AUUGAACGCUGGCGGCAUGCUUUACACAUGCAAGUCGAACGGUAACAGGCCGCAAGGUGCUGACGAGUGGCGAACGGGUGAGUAAAGCAUCGGAACGUGCCCAGUCGUGGGGGAUAACGCAGCGAAAGCUGUGCUAAUACCGCAUACGAUCUAUGGAUGAAAGCGGGGGACCGUAAGGCCUCGCGCGAUUGGAGCGGCCGAUGUCAGAUUAGGUAGUUGGUGGGGUAAAGGCCCACCAAGCCAGCGAUCUGUAGCUGGUCUGAGAGGACGACCAGCCACACUGGGACUGAGACACGGCCCAGACUCCUACGGGAGGCAGCAGUGGGGAAUUUUGGACAAUGGGCGCAAGCCUGAUCCAGCAAUGCCGCGUGCAGGAAGAAGGCCUUCGGGUUGUAAACUGCUUUUGUACGGAACGAAACGGUCUGGGUUAAUACCUCGGGCUAAUGACGGUACCGUAAGAAUAAGCACCGGCUAACUACGUGCCAGCAGCCGCGGUAACAC
rnacentral:rRNA from 1 species